UCUAUGGGCUGUCUCUUCACUUCCAG
rnacentral:piRNA from 1 species